UUCCGGUUGAUCCUGCCGGACCCGACUGCUAUUUGGGUGAGGAUAAGCCAUGCGAGUCGAAUGGGAUACCUAAAUUUCCCAUGGCGAACUGCUCAAUAACACAUGAUCAACUUGCCCUAUAGAGAAAAAUAACCUCGGGAAACUGAGGAUAAUGUUUCAUAGUUGAAAAGGCUUGGAAAAGUUUUUCAACCAAAGGGAUAAAAAAAAUGGUUUUUAUCCGCUAUAGGAUAGGAUCGUGCUCGAUUAUGGUCGUUGGUGAGGUAACGGCUCACCAAGCCGAUAAUCGAUAGGGGCCGUGAGAGCGGGAGCCCCGAGAUGGGUACUGAGACAGCGACCCAGGUCUUACGAGGCGCAGCAGGCGCGGAACCUCCGCAAUACACGAAAGUGUGACGGGGUUACCCAAAGUGUUCAUUUAUGGACUGUGGUAGGUGAGUAAUGUCCCCUACUAGAAAGGAGAGGGCAAGGCUGGUGCCAGCCGCCGCGGUAAAACCAGCUCUUCAAGUGGUCGGGAUAAUUAUUGGGCUUAAAGUGUCCGUAGCCGGUUUAGUAAGUUCCUGGUAAAAUCAGGUAGCCUAACUAUCUGCAUGCUAGGAAUACUGCUAUACUAGAGGGCGGGAGAGGUCUGAGGUACUACAGGGGUAGGGGUGAAAUCUUAUAAUCCUUGUAGGACCACCAGUGGCGAAGGCGUCAGACUGGAACGUGCCUGACGGUGAGGGACGAAAGCCAGGGGAGCGAACCGGAUUAGAUACCCGGGUAGUCCUGGCCGUAAACGAUGCAUACUAGGUGAUGGCAUGGCCAUGAGCCAUGUCAGUGCCGUAGGGAAACCGUUAAGUGUGCCGCCUGGGAAGUACGGUCGCAAGGCUAAAACUUAAAGGAAUUGGCGGGGGAGCACCACAAGGGGUGAAGCCUGCGGUUCAAUUGGAAUCAACGCCGG
rnacentral:rRNA from 1 species